GAUGAACGCUGGCGGCGUGCCUAAUACAUGCAAGUCGAGCGAACAGAUAAGGAGCUUGCUCCUUUGACGUUAGCGGCGGACGGGUGAGUAACACGUGGAUAACCUACCUAUAAGACUGGGAUAACUUCGGGAAACCGGAGCUAAUACCGGAUAACAUAUUGAACCGCAUGGUUCAAUAGUGAAAGGCGGCUUUGCUGUCACUUAUAGAUGGAUCCGCGCCGUAUUAGCUAGUUGGUAAGGUAACGGCUUACCAAGGCAACGAUACGUAGCCGACCUGAGAGGGUGAUCGGCCACACUGGAACUGAGACACGGUCCAGACUCCUACGGGAGGCAGCAGUAGGGAAUCUUCCGCAAUGGGCGAAAGCCUGACGGAGCAACGCCGCGUGAGUGAUGAAGGUCUUCGGAUCGUAAAACUCUGUUAUCAGGGAAGAACAAAUGUGUAAGUAACUGUGCACAUCUUGACGGUACCUGAUCAGAAAGCCACGGCUAACUACGUGCCAGCAGCCGCGGUAAUACGUAGGUGGCAAGCGUUAUCCGGAAUUAUUGGGCGUAAAGCGCGCGUAGGCGGUUUUUUAAGUCUGAUGUGAAAGCCCACGGCUCAACCGUGGAGGGUCAUUGGAAACUGGAAAACUUGAGUGCAGAAGAGGAAAGUGGAAUUCCAUGUGUAGCGGUGAAAUGCGCAGAGAUAUGGAGGAACACCAGUGGCGAAGGCGACUUUCUGGUCUGUAACUGACGCUGAUGUGCGAAAGCGUGGGGAUCAAACAGGAUUAGAUACCCUGGUAGUCCACGCCGUAAACGAUGAGUGCUAAGUGUUAGGGGGUUUCCGCCCCUUAGUGCUGCAGCUAACGCAUUAAGCACUCCGCCUGGGGAGUACGACCGCAAGGUUGA
rnacentral:rRNA from 1 species